rnacentral:misc_RNA from 1 species
GGAAAAAAAAAAAGAACAGAAGAUGAAGACAAUGGUUAGAUGUUAGGGCUAAAAUCGAAAUUAGAAGGGACAGAAAAAUGAGAGAGAAGCAAUAUAACAUUGUAUACAACAGGUGAUGCUCCCUCUUAUUUCGUUUUCUUUGGGAUCUUCAAAUGGUCUUACCCUCCUUUCUAUCCAGAUCCCUAAGAUUUCAGGUACUCUCCCUUUUCUGCAUCUCUUCUUUUCACUGCCUCCUUACAGAAUCAGAGCUAUCGUUGGGUCAAAUGAGGAAAGGAGAGGACCUGCUGCUUGGGAAUAAAGACUGCCUGUAGCCUGCUACCUGACAUAAAAAAAAUAAAAUAAAAAAACUUCCUUUUCUGAAGUGAAGUGGUUGUUUUAGUGCUCUUUUGUUCAAGUUCCAACUCACAGUAGACGUAACAAUCAAUAUCUUAAAACUGGAAGUAAAUAGAUAAAUUGAACCAAUGGAUGAUGGGUAAGUGAAUUUAUAUCUAACUUUUAAUUGGAGACAAUGAAUGAUGGCACUAGGGUGUUGACUAUUUAGAGAUUCCAUUAUGUCCCAUGUUUGACAUUCUGCUAGAUGGUUAGCAUUGGCUUUACUUUUCCUGAUGCUUUGUAGGUUGUUCG